UUCUAUUAAUAGUUAUUGUUAUUAAUCUCUUACUGUGCCUAAUUUAUAAAUUAAACUUUAUCGUAGGUAUGCUUAUAGGGGAUAAAACAUAUAUAGGGUUCAGUAUUAUCUGUCAUCUUAGGCAUCCACUGGGGGUCUUGGAAUGUAUUCUGCAUGGAAAAAAUAUUUUCAAUCGAGACUUUCAGCAGAGAAGUUAGCCGGUAUAUCCAAACAAAAUGAGAUGUAUGCACAGUGUUUUAUUGCAUUAUAUGGUAAUCCCUCCACAAAAAUAAAAAGAUCUGAAAUAGAAGAAAUCACAGAUUUUGAAAGUUUUCUUUAAUUAUAUGCCUUAUGU
rnacentral:lncRNA from 1 species